rnacentral:rRNA from 1 species
GACGAACGCUGGCGGCGUGCCUAAUACAUGCAAGUAGAACGCACAGUUUAUACCGUAGCUUGCUACACCAUACACUGUGAGUUGCGAACGGGUGAGUAACGCGUAGGUAACCUGCCUGGUAGCGGGGGAUAACUAUUGGAAACGAUGGCUAAUACCGCAUAAUAUUGAUUAUUGCAUGAUAAUUGAUUGAAAGAUGCUAUUGCAUCACUACCAGAUGGACCUGCGUUGUAUUAGCUAGUAGGUGAGGUAACGGCUCACCUAGGCGACGAUACAUAGCCGACCUGAGAGGGUGAUCGGCCACACUGGGACUGAGACACGGCCCAGACUCCUACGGGAGGCAGCAGUAGGGAAUCUUCGGCAAUGGACGAAAGUCUGACCGAGCAACGCCGCGUGAGUGAAGAAGGUUUUCGGAUCGUAAAGCUCUGUUGUAAGAGAAGAACGGGUGUGAGAGUGGAAAGUUCACACUGUGACGGUAUCUUACCAGAAAGGGACGACUAACUACGUG